GGGAGACAGUGUUGUUUAUUCUGAGUUUGCUUUAGGGUGGAUCAGUCAUUACUGCUGAAAUGGCUCAGAAUGAAAGAACUGUUCACACCAACUUCUUCAAUGACUUUGAUGAUAUUUUUAAUGACGAAGACUUGGACUAAUUUUUAAAAAUAAUUAUUCAUCACCGUGUUACUGUACAAAAAUUUAAUCAAUUUGUGUUUGGAAAUAACUGAGAUUAUUUAGGAUUGACAUCACUCAUAAUUUAGACAAUUUGAAUGUUUAUCAACAUUGUGUUCUACAGUAUAGUUAUGCUCAUAUGUAAUCUUCACCAGUAGCAUCAGUUGAUGCUUAAAUCUCAUAAA